rnacentral:rRNA from 1 species
AUGGUGCGUGAUAUCAAGACCGCCGAGAAGCCCCCAGAGUGCGAGAAUUUCCCGUGCACGACCACCUGCACCUGGAGGGGAGCUGCUGCUGGGUUGAUGGUGUGCACGGAGUGCACCUCUACUUUCUGCACCGUGGAGAAGGGGGAUAUGGAAAAUCCGCAGGGACACGCUCGCCGGCACGCCACCAGGGACUACCAUUGGGUUGCUCUGUGGUACGAUGAACCGUAUAAGGGCUACUGCUUCGAGUGUGGGCACGUUCUGAAGCUCGGUCAGGACAAGCUGAGCGAUGAUGAGUGGGCAGCUCUGGCCAGAAAUAAAAGGGUUGAGCGGGCAAUGUGGGCCAGCAAUGGAUGGGAUGAGUGGGGAACGGUGGCCGAGAGUUAUGCAAAGGAUUUGUGGGAAAUAGUGACCGGCAAUGAUGCGUCUGGGUAUGCUAAUGGGAAUGGCUGUGUUAUCAGAGGGUUGCCGAAUCUUGGAAACACAUGCUACAUGAAUGCACUGCUGCAGUGCCUCCUUGCGCCCGGUGAACUGAGGACAACGAUUUUAGGACCGGGUGCUUGGCUGGGGAGCAUUGGUCUGCACCUGAAGCAAUUGUUUGUGGAGACAAGCAGCACAAAUGUUGCCAGGCGCGCGCUGGAUCCUCAGAUGCUAUUGGAAGGUACGCAGUUGUUUAAUCCACAGUUCAAGGGCUCUUAUAUGCAGGACAGCCAAGAGUUUCUUACAUCUUUGCGCACUGCUUUGGAGGAGGAGACGAAGGACCUAAACAAAUUUCAUUGGGGUGCAGAGUUUAGUCCAAUUGGCAAUUCCAUUUUCGGGGGCUGGCUGCGUCAGACCUUAUGCUGCAUAAGUUGCUCAACUAAAUCAGUUUUGGAUCUGCAAUUUGAUGAGCUCCAACUGGCACCGCCAUCAAAGGAUUGCCCAGCCAGAAGUGUUACGUUACCACCAAUGACCAGAAACGGUGGAUCUCCGACGAAGACUCGUAAGGAACUAUUCCAACAAGCCGACAAGACUGAUGGAGAAAAGAUUCAAACAAUUGCGGAAGGCUGUGAUUCUCAGUUUCCUGGUUCAGAAUUUGGAGAUGAGGCCAUGGAGAAAAUACCCAAUCCUUUUUCAAGUUGA